AUGUUUGAAAUAAUAUACAUCUAUCUAUCUUCGUGGCAGCUCCUCCUCCGCUUCCUCCAAAAAACAUUCCAUCAAGAAGUCAUUACGGCUAUCCUUCGGACUCUGCUGGUAAAUUUAUCUCGUAUAACUUUCUAUUUCAGUCACACAGUUCAAUCCUACGAGAGCUUUGAUCUAAACACUACCUCAAAUUCUUUUUCAGCUGAUCUACCCAAUGGAAGGGCAGGUCGCAGCUCGGCCCCCAUCUACCUGAACGUCCUGUCCCCCGCCUCUUACCGAGGAUCCCCUGCCCCCGACCUGGACGACGUAUUUGGCCCCAUGGACAGCCCCCGCACCAGUGAGGAGACAGUGUCUCCCAGAUGGGUCACUUUCACUGAGGACAGACCCCCGCCGCCUGAUGAACCCGCACCCCCUCCUCCACCGGACUCCCCUCCUCCAGACACACCCUCGUCCACCCCCUCCACCCCCUGCCUCUCUCCGGGACCACCGCCAAACGAGCCCCCGCCUUCGCCUCCACCGUUUUCUCCCGGGUCUCCUCCUCCUUUCACACCACCAGACUCACCCCCGUCCAUCGUGCUCGGGCCUCCUCCUCCGGAUGAACCCGCCCCUCCCUUGCCUCCCGACUUCUCCCCCUCUGACUCACCUCCUCUGUGUCUCGAUGAUGAUGCAAUCGAUGAGGAGGUGCUGCAGUUUGCAGAGUACUCUUCAUCUCCGGCCCCCAUCAGCCCCGUGCCCCCUCUGCCAGCGGAGCGGCGGUCUCCUCGGAUAGGAGUCACAUCUCCCCUGGUCCUGGGAGGUAUGGGGGGAAAGAGGACUCCAGAGGGGGCGUACCUGAGAGAUGAUAUCCCAGACUUUGUGGGUUCACCCAGAGAGCUGACUCCAAGCUUCAGGGGCACGCCGCCUCCUCUCCCUCCAACCACCUACAGGUCUAUUAUGUCUUCCCCAGGGCCCUACUCAGGCAGCAGCCCUUCAUCUCCAGCUCGUCCUGCCACCCCUCAGUCUCGAGGCAGUCCGGUCCCUCCGCCUCCUCCUCCUCGACCGUCCUCAAGACCAAAGCUGCCCCCAGGGAAACCAAUCACAGACCUGGUACAUGUGAAGUGUCCUUUCAUUUCUCUGACUCUCUGGUAUUUAAAUAAAACUGAUUAUUAA
rnacentral:lncRNA from 15 species